UGCUUUGAUCUUGGACUUCCCAGCCUCCAGAGCUGUGAGAAAUAAAUUUCUGUUGUUUAUGAGCCACCCAGUCUAUGGUAUUCUGUUAUAGCAGCCUGAUCAGACUAAGACAAAUAGUUUUUACAUUUUAAAAUGACUAGGAAAAAGGACACUGAAGAUUAAUAUUUUGUGACACAUGGAAGUGAUAUGAAAUACAAAUUUUGCUGUCUGCAAAUAAUGUUUUAUGGGAACAUAGCCACACUUAUUCAUUUAUGUGUUGUCUUUGGCUGCUUUGGAGCUACAUCAACAGUUUAGUGGUUGUGACAGAGACUGUAAGACUUGCAAAGCUUCACAUGUUUACUUUAACAGAAAGAGUUCACUAACCCCUAGCUUUAGAGAACAACAGCCUUUUAUUAUCUCCCAUGACUCUGUGGGACAUUGGCUCAGGUGGUGUGGCUGGGGUGGUAGAUGUCUGGAAGCUCUUAGAUCUCUGGAGGCUGGAACAUCCAAGGUAGCUCUCUCACGUGGCUGGCAGGAGCUGCUGGCUGUAGCUGUGGCCCCGGCCCUCUUCUAUGUAGCUGCUCCACGUGGCUUAGGCUUUUCCCAGUGGGUGGCUGGGUCCAGGAAGGAGCAUCCCAGUGUGCUGCACCAUCAAACCUCUGCUUGCAUCACACUUGCUGAUGUCCUGUUGUCAAUCACAUGCCAAAACCUGAGUCAACUUGGGAGGCCACUGCAAAGGGGGUGAAAACUGUAAGUGUGGCUCACUGGGGCUGCCCAAGUGACAUCCACCAACUGUCUUACAAUAAAGAUCCGGCAAUUAAUGAAUUCUCUGGAUAGAAGACUUUUAUCCCAAUAACAGUCAACACAAACACAAAAUCUGAAGAAACAGCUGUGCAUUCACAAACCUGGACAGAGUGUUGUCUAUCCCUCCUUAGCACUGGUCCACUCUGGCCAAGGUAGGAAUCCCACAGAGUGGUCUUAGCCAUUUGCCUCUUUUCCUGAGUCCUCAUCCCCUGUCUGUUAUUGGUCAUGUAUAACUUUGGGUUGGCUGCCUGAGUUUCAGAGUGUUCCUUCAGCCAGCCCUUGUACUGUAAAUCUCCAAAGUCCAGUGUGUUCUGAGGGCUUUGGCCCCCAUCCAGCAUUACCACGCAAGUCUUGUUUUAAGCAAGGAUGUCCUGAAAUUGCCUAAGGCCCUUUUGCAAAGCUGGACUUGACAUUGGGUCUCUAUAGCUCUUCAAGAGUCAACAGACUGAGAGCUAGAACAUUUGCAAGGGGCUGCAGCCCAGUCUGUGCACAGACCCAUGAGGGCUGGAACUAGGGGGCAAUGAUAGUGUCCCCUGCUGCUUUCAGGCCCACAGCCAGCCCCUUCCUCCUGUCUCUAGCUCUCACUCAAGACUUUUCCCUCUUUUUAGCCUAAGUCAAGUUGUCCCUUUCUCCAUCUCUUCCUAUCUUCCACCUGUCUCUCCCCAUUGAUGGAGGAACGUGCCCUUGUUAGGAAGUUGUUACUGCAUCCCAACAGCCUCAGGCAAACCUUGGGCUGCAGUCAUGGGCUUCAAGUCUAGCAGGUACAAGAGUCUGGAGUUGGCACCCGUAAUCUACAGAGGGAGGCCCAUCAGGACUUCGGUCUUGAUCUCAGUGGGCUCCAUCCUCGUCUCUAACCAGCCUCAUAUAGGCAGCAGGGCUGCAGUGGCAGUGAUGUUUAUGGAAGGACCCAUUAUUCCCAAACACAUCUUUGGGGAAUUCCCUUACCGUUAGAGAAAUGGGACUUCUAGGUGUCUGGAAUUUGAACAUGGGGAAUUUGAGAGCAUAGACGAUCUCUGCCUCUGACCUCCCUCUUUUCUGGGGAAAUGUGUUCUUUGUCCUCAGCCUGCUGGUGCAGCCCCUCCCAGGAAUCCCUGCCAGUGUGGGUCAUGGAGAUUGUGACUCAGUGGCAGAUUUCCCUUUCAGAGGAAGAAGCCAUUCUAACCGGCAGAAAAUGUUGCUGCAAUUUUCAGUAAAAUUAAGGGACAUGGCAAAUUCUCAGAGGGUGCCAGGCAGGAAAGGUAGGGUAGUGGCAGGGGACAGGGGGUGGUACUGGAUAACUAAAGCUGAGCCUCCCCAUGGCAAGCCCUCGUGCUCAGCCUCUGUUUUCUCCUUGCAGGCCACCUCAAUAGCAGAAGUACUCUGCCUGACUGCAUACUUUGGCAGACUGGUACAUUUUGCAAAAGUCACUCCUCAAAUGGUUUUCUGGAAGGAUACAAAAGACAUCUGCACCAUGCUGACCUUGAUCGAUCUGAUUAUCU
rnacentral:lncRNA from 1 species